UGAGGUGUUGUGACCUUCUUCUUGA
rnacentral:tRNA from 1 species